rnacentral:rRNA from 1 species
AGUGAACGCUGGCGGCGUGCCUAAUACAUGCAAGUCGAACGAUGAAGUCCUAGCUUGCUAGGAUGGAUUAGUGGCGCACGGGUGAGUAAUAUAUAGUUAAUCUGCCCUACACAGAGGAACAACAGUUGGAAACGGCUGCUAAUACCUCAUACUCCUAUUAGACAUAAGUUAAAUAGGGAAAGUCUUUUCGGUGUAGGAUGAGACUAUAUCGUAUCAGCUAGUUGGUAAGGUAAUGGCUUACCAAGGCUAUGACGCGUAACUGGUCUGAGAGGAUGAUCAGUCACAUUGGAACUGAGACACGGUCCAAACUCCUACGGGAGGCAGCAGUAAGGAAUAUUGCGCAAUGGGGGAAACCCUGACGCAGCAACGCCGCGUGGAGGAUGACACUUUUCGGAGCGUAAACUCCUUUUAUCAGGAAAGAAUAAUGACGGUACCUGAUGAAUAAGCACCGGCUAACUCCGUG